UGUCUUGUAAUUGGAAUGAUGGUGACCUAAACCCUCACCAGAGUAACAAUUGGAGGGCAAGUCUGGUGCCAGCAGCCGCGGUAAUUCCAGCUCCAAUAGCGUAUAUUAAACUUGUUGCAGUUAAAAAGCUCGUAGUUGAAUUUUUGCGUGGUGUUAAUAUUGACUAAUGUCGAGAUUGCACUUCGCUUUUGGGAUUUAUCCCUUUUUACUUUGAGAAAAUUAGAGUGUUUCAAGCAGACUUUUGUCUUGAAUACUUCAGCAUGGAAUAAUAGAGUAGGACUUUGG
rnacentral:rRNA from 1 species